UACCCGCAAGGUAAACCCCAAGACUUCUAGAGCCGUAUUUCUUAAUAGACUGCAAAGAGCUGGCCUUGAAAGAACAACAUAAAGCAGGAAAGAGCAUUCUCAGCAGUGAUUUCCACUUAACCUGCAAAGCAUGAGAAACUUUGAGGAAUUUAUCAAGAAAUACGGCAAAGUUUGUUUGAAAGUACAAGUGUCUGAGAUAGAAUUACGCCAAGACUUUCCCUGGAUUCUACAUCUCCACUCACCAACUCUGGAUCAUUAUCCCAUGGGAAGUUGCACAUCUGUGCCUGUGCCAGAAACUCCAAAUGCCGGCAAGAGGCUCUUCUCUGCUUUUCAUACU